GAGCUGCGGCAGAGGGGAGAGCGCGCGAGCGAGCCUGCAAGCGAGUGUGCGAGCGAGCAAUCCACCCGGGCUGGCUGAGCCGGGGAGGUCAAGCACGUGAGAACGGGGGAGAGGAGGAGGAGGAGGAGGGAGAGGAGGCAGGGAGCCCGCCAGCCUGCUGGGGAGGCGGCUGCGCUUGACAGCGGAGAGGCAGAGCGGCAGAGGAAAAGGAGGAAGAAAGCAGGGCUGGGUUGGUGAGCUGCCGAAACUCCCCGCAUCCUGGGAUCAUGGGCUUUGUAGUCCGAAUAAGUAGCCUUUCUCAGCUCGGCGGAGGGAGGAGCCAGCGGCCGAGGGUGGGUGACUUUUGCAGCUCCCGGAGUUUCCAAAGAGGUUCGCCUCUUUUUCUCACUCUCCUCUUUCCAGCCGUGCAAAGGAAGGCGAUGCCCUGCUCCGAGGUAAGUAAAGAAUAAGAAAAAAUGCGGGCGCUGGCCUCGCCUCGCCCGGAAGGCAGCCCAGUCCCCCCCCACACACACACACCGGGAAGCCGGAGAAGCGAGUUCCCCCAGAGGAGCAGCAGCGCGCGGAGGGGGUGCGGGUUUCUCCUGGUUUUCCUUUGGGCGCAAGGAAAAGACGGGCCGCCGCCCCCCCCCGUGGGGUAGAUCAGGGGAGGAAGAGCCCAAGGCUUUUUGCCGCCUGAGGCCAAGAUCUUCCCACUCCUGGCUCCAAAUACAGAAGCCGGCUGGACUGCCGCCUGAAUCUGAAAUCCUUCUGGGAAGAGUUAUUUACUCAAAUGCUGCUCUAAUCCAUGUAAGCUCUCUCUUUGCAUUAUACUUCUAGGAACAGAGAUGCAAAAAUUUGGUCAACUAGGUGAAGCUUUAAAAAAAAGGACUUAGAAAGGGUUUGCCAUUUCUCAGAAUGACAUUUGUUCCUGUUUAAUAUUUGUAUAUGUAUUGUUUUUAUCUUUAAAUAUUGUCUUUUAAUGCUGUACGCUGCCUUGGGUCCUUUUAAAGGAGAAAGGGCGGGUAAAAAAUAUUUUAAAUAAAUAGAAUUUAAGCACCA
rnacentral:lncRNA from 1 species